rnacentral:rRNA from 1 species
CCUACGGGAGGCAGCAGUGAGGAAUAUUGGUCAAUGGGCUUACGCCUGAACCAGCCAAGUCGCGUGAGGGAUGACUGCCCUAUGGGUUGUAAACCUCUUUUGUCAGGGAGUAAUUGGCGCUACGUGUAGCGUUAUCGAGAGUACCUGAAGAAAAAGCAUCGGCUAACUCCGUGCCAGCAGACGCGGUAAUACGGAGGAUGCGAGCGUUAUCCGGAUUUAUUGGGUUUAAAGGGUGCGUAGGCGGAAUGCCAAGGCAGCGGGAAAAUCGCGGGGCUCAACCUGGAGCCGCCGUUGAAACUGGCGUUCUUGAGUGGGCGAGAAGAAUGCGGAAUGCGUGGUGUAGCGGUGAAAUGCAUAGAUAUCACGCAGAACUCCGAUUGCGAAGGCAGCAUACCGGCGCCCAACUGACGCUGAAGCACGAAAGCGUGGGUAUCGAACAGGAUUAGAUACCCCUGUAGUC